rnacentral:rRNA from 1 species
GAUGAACGCUGACAGAAUGCUUAACACAUGCAAGUCGAUGGGGAAGUGGUGCUUGCACCAUGGCAACCAUGGCGGACGGGUGAGUAACGCGUAAGGGACUUACCUGCAGGACUGGGAUAACAGGGGGAAACCCCUGACAAGACCGGAUAAUGUCAUGGAGCUGCAUGGCUUUAUGAUGAAAGGAGACGCCUGCGGAGAGCCUUGCGUCCUAUUAGCUAGUUGGUGAGGUAAUGGCUCACCAAGGCGAAGAUAGGUAGCCGGCCUGAGAGGGUGGACGGCCACAAGGGGACUGAGAUACGGCCCUUACUCCUACGGGAGGCAGCAGUGGGGAAUAUUGGACAAUGGGGGCAACCCUGAUCCAGCAAUUCUGUGUGCACGAAGAAGGUUUUCGGAUUGUAAAGUGCUUUCAGCAGGGAAGAAGUAAGUGACGGUACCUGCAGAAGAAGCGACGGCUAAAUACGUG